rnacentral:rRNA from 1 species
UUGAUAAAGCUGUUGCCGAUACUUGGAACAAUUUCUGGAAAGACGGUAAAGCUGAUGGUAUUGGCUCUAAUUUGUCUAGGAAAUAACCGUCAGGAUUGACACCCUCCCAAUUGUAUGUUUUCAUGCCUCCAAAUCUUGGAGGCUUUUUUAUGGUUCGUUCUUAUUACCCUUCUGAAUGUCACGCUGAUUAUUUUGACUUUGAGCGUAUCGAGGCUCUUAAACCUGCUAUUGAGGCUUGU